AGCCACCAGCGAGGAUUGACCUCACAAACCCUCGUUUAGAAGACCAGUGCUCUAACCACUGAGCUAUUGUGGC
rnacentral:tRNA from 13 species